UACAGAGGGGGCAAGCGUUGUUCGGAAUUACUGGGCGUAAAGCGUGCGCAGGCGGUUCGUUAUGUCCGAUGUGAAAGCCCCGAGCUUAACUUGGGAAUGGCAUUGGAAACUGGCGGGCUGGAGUGCGGCAGAGGGGGGUGGAAUUCCACGUGUAGCAGUGAAAUGCGUAGAGAUGUGGAGGAACACCGAUGGCGAAGGCAGCCCCCUGGGCCGACACUGACGCUCAGGCACGAAAGCGUGGGGAGCAAACAGG
rnacentral:rRNA from 1 species